rnacentral:rRNA from 1 species
AACGAACGCUGGCGGCAUGCCUAACACAUGCAAGUCGAACGAGACCUUCGGGUCUAGUGGCGCACGGGUGCGUAACGCGUGGGAACCUGCCCUUAGGUUCGGAAUAACUCCCCGAAAGGGGUGCUAAUACCGGAUAAUGUCUUCGGACCAAAGAUUUAUCGCCUUUGGAUGGGCCCGCGUUGGAUUAGCUAGUUGGUAGGGUAAAAGCCAACCAAGGCGACGAUCCAUAGCUGGUCUGAGAGGAUGAUCAGCCACACUGGGACUGAGACACGGCCCAGACUACUACGGGAGGCAGCAGUGGGGAAUAUUGGACAAUGGGCGAAAGCCUGAUCCAGCAAUGCCGCGUGAGUGAUGAAGGCCUUAGGGUUGUAAAGCUCUUUUACCCGGGAUGAUAAUGACAGUACCGGGAGAAUAAGCUCCGGCUAACUCCGUG